rnacentral:rRNA from 1 species
GCCUGGUGGCACUAGAGAAGAGGAAAUACCUGAUCCCAUCCCGAACUCAGAAGUCAAGCUCUUCAUCGCCAAUGGUACUGCACACAAGAGUGUGGGAGAGUAGGUCGCCGCCAGGCU